GAUGAACGCUGGCGGCGUGCCUAAUACAUGCAAGUCGAGCGAACAGACGAGGAGCUUGCUCCUCUGACGUUAGCGGCGGACGGGUGAGUAACACGUGGAUAACCUACCUAUAAGACUGGGAUAACUUCGGGAAACCGGAGCUAAUACCGGAUAAUAUAUUGAACCGCAUGGUUCAAUAGUGAAAGACGGUUUUGCUGUCACUUAUAGAUGGAUCCGCGCCGCAUUAGCUAGUUGGUAAGGUAACGGCUUACCAAGGCGACGAUGCGUAGCCGACCUGAGAGGGUGAUCGGCCACACUGGAACUGAGACACGGUCCAGACUCCUACGGGAGGCAGCAGUAGGGUAUCUUGCGCAAUGGGCGAAAGCCUGACGGAGCAACGCCGCGUGAGUGAUGAAGGUCUUCGGAUCGUAAAACUCUGUUAUUAGGGAAGAACAAAUGUGUAAGUAACUAUGCACGUAUUGACGGUACCUAAUUAGAAAGCCACGGCUAACUACGUG
rnacentral:rRNA from 1 species